CUCAGUAACACGUGGAUAACCUGCCCUUAGGAUUGGCAUAACACCGGGAAACUGGUGAUAAUACCGAAUAGACCAUUUAUGCUGGAAUGCUUUUUGGUUCAAAGGCUUCGGCUGCCUAAGGAUGGAUCUGCGGCCUAUCAGGUAGUAGUGGGUGUAAUGUACCUACUAGCCUACGACGGGUACGGGUUGUGAGAGCAAGAGCCCGGAGAUGGAUUCUGAGACAUAAAUCCAGACCCUACGGGGUGCAGCAGGCGCGAAAUCUUUACAAUGCGGGAAACCGCGAUAAGGGGACACUGAGUGCCAGCAUAUUAUGUUGGCUGUCCACAUGUCUAAAAACCAUGUGUUAGCAAGGGCCGGGCAAGACCGGUGCCAGCCGCCGCGGUAACACCGGCGGCCCGAGUGGUGAUCACUUUUAUUGGGUCUAAAGGGUCCGUAGCCGGUUUAAUCAGUCUUCUGGGAAAUCUGACAGCUCAACUGUUAGGCUUUCAGGGGAUACUGUUAAGCUUGGGACCGGGAGAGGUAAGAGGUACUACAGGGGUAGGAGUGAAAUCUUGUAAUCCCUGUGGGACCGCCGGUGGCGAAGGCGUCUUACCAGAACGGGUCCGACGGUGAGGGACGAAAGCUGGGGGCACGAACCGGAUUAGAUACCCGGGUAGUCCCAGCCGUAAACGAUGUUCGCUAAGUGUCAGGGACGGUGCGACCGUUUCUGGUGCCGUAGGGAAGCCGUGAGUGAACCACCUGGGAAGUACGGCCGCAAGGCUGAAACUAAAG
rnacentral:rRNA from 1 species